rnacentral:piRNA from 1 species
GGUGCAACAACGUGUGAUGCCGGC